rnacentral:rRNA from 1 species
CCCACCGAUUUAAUCGUUGGCUUGCGGGGGAUACUGCUCGGCUAGGGGACGAGAGAGGCAGACGGGAUUCCCGGGGUAGGGGUGAAAUCCUAUAAUCCCGAGAAGACCACCAGUGGCGAAGGCUGUCUGCUAGAACGCGCCCGACGGUGAGGGAUGAAAGCUGGGGGAGCGAACCGGAUUAGAUACCCGGGUAGUCCCAGCUGUAAACGAUGCAGACUAGGUGUUUGGACGGCCACGUGCCGUUCUAGUGCCGCAGGGAAGCUGUUAAGUCUGCCGCCUGGGGAGUACGAUCGCAAGAUUGAAACUUAAAGGAAUUGGCGGGGGAGCACCACAAGGGGUGAAGCUUGCGGUUUAAUUGGAGUCAACACCGGAAAUCUCACCGGGAGCGACAGCAGGGUGAAAGCCAGAUUAAAGGUCUUGCUAGACGAGCUGAGAGGAGGUGCAUGGCC